rnacentral:lncRNA from 1 species
UGGAUGUCCCUUGUCACCCUUGGGUGACCAGAGUGUAGUGUGGGAUGUCCCUAAGGCCUGGAGAUGGCCACCAGGAAAAGUGUACGCCCUCUUGGUGAUGCUCGUGCCCUCUUGGCAAACAUCCCAGGAGCACCACAUCACCUGGAGGAGCCAGCAGGCUCGUUUUGGUGCUCCAUUGCUGAUUCACUGCAGGUGUUCGCCAUGAGAUGGGCACAGCACUGUAGAACACCAUCCCCACCCCAGGGGCACGUCACACCCUGCAUGCAAUUACAUUCACCUCGCUGGAGGAUUUUCACUCCCUACCUUUGAUUGCAACCUUGGGGGCUGGAGUGAUAGCUUUUAUAUAUAAUUGGUUUACUUUACAGCAGUAUUUUGAAGAAGAGAGGAAAUGAAGCUUUUUGGUUGGAGGGAAGGGACAGGGUUUGGCUUGCUGACAUUUCUUUUGUUGCGAUGUUGUAUAGGUCUCGCUUGCCUGAAAAAAGGAGAAAGGAGGAGUGUGUGCAGGAGUUCAGGUCCUGCUGUGGCUUCUUGGGAAGUGAGGCAUUUUUGCUUCUCUAAAGAAACCCCAUGGGAUUACAAAUGUUUGUGUGAAUGCCCAGAUCAGAUCCUGAGAAGGGAACAGCAGGUUACACAGCCCCACAACCACACACUGCUUCAUCCUUGCGCAUGUGGGCACCACCAAAACUUUGGAUCAAAGGUUUUGAGGCCUUACAUCCUCUCAGAAUGCAGUUGCUGUAAAUCUGGAAAAAAUAAACAGUGACGUUGUUCCGUCUUCCUUCAGCUCACUGCAAUUUCCUCUCCAUGUUCAGCUGCUCUUCAUCAGUGGCUCCCACCAUCAUUGGAGCCAGCACGCGGUGGUGCUCAGGAGGAGCACGCCCUGGAAGCAAAGCAGUCCAUUCUGGUUUGUGAACUGGGUUGUGUGUAUGACCAUCUGGGUCUCGCAUGUGGGAUCUGGCAGAGGUCUACAGGAAUGACUGACAUAGGUACUUCUUUUCUGACAGGUCAAGUGGGUGAUUCAUUAGUUAAACUAAAUAUAUGUUUUUUUCAAAUAUGCAAGAUGAAGUACUGAAACGUAUGCAUAUAUUGUCUGCAUUUAUGAUCAGAGCUAGCUGCUUUUUGCUUUUGUAGCAUCACAGCAAUGUCAUGUUUAUGUGUUUUAUGACAUUCUAACCAUGUCUUCUGGCUGGACAUGGCAGUUAAACAUUAUAAUACAGCAGUCAUAAACCUGAACCAUCUGAUGACCAUACCUAUUAAUUCCUUAAUGUUGCUUGUAUAUAAAAUGAGUUCAGUAAUAACUUCUUGCUUUCUGGAAAUGGAGUAUGAAUAGGACAUUUGGAGCUGCUGUGUGGUUACAGCAGUGGGCAAGUGAUUAUGUUAGGGAUCACCGGCUGUGCUCGUCUUAGCCAUGGGCGACAUCUCAGAAAAUGCCAGCAUGACAAGGGUUAAUGCAUACACUUAGGUUAUCUCACUGAUGAGUUUAAGUUUUGAAAGCAAUUUUACUGCUGCACACCACCACAAACUUUUUUAUAUACGAUGUUUCCUUCAUGAAGCUUCAAAUAGUACUCACAUCAGACUGAAAUCAAUAUCUCCAGGAGAGAUUGGGGCAAUUUCACUUGAGGUUUUUGUUGUGGUUUCUUGCAGGGGGAAUAAAGAAGGUAGGAUAACCA